AACCUUUGCAAUGUGCGAAAGCACGACAAGGUUAAUCCGAGUGAUUCCUGCUAAAGGAAUCUUUUGUUAGUCAUAAAACCACUGAUGAAUAAGGGGUGGGCAAGUUCUGGUGUCAGCCGCCGCGGUAAUACCAGCACCUCGAGUGGUCAGGAGGUUUAUUGGGCCUAAAGCAUCCGUAGCCGGCUGCUCAAGUUUCCGGUUAAAUCCACACGCUUAACGUAUGGGCUGCCGGAAAUACUGUUCAGCUAGGGAGUGGGAGAGGUAGACGGUACUCGAUAGGAAGGGGUAAAAUCCUUUGAUCUAUUGAUGACCACCUGUGGCGAAGGCGGUCUACCAGAACACGUUCGACGGUGAGGGAUGAAAGCUGGGGGAGCAAACCGGAUUAGAUACCCGAGUAGUCCCAGCUGUAAACGAUGCAGACUCGGUGAUGCAUUGGCUUAUGGCCAGUGCAGUGCCGCAGGGAAGCCGUUAAGUUUGCCGCCUGGGAAGUACGUACGCAAGUAUGAAACUUAA
rnacentral:rRNA from 1 species